AGUAGCUGAAGGAGACUCGGCGGCGUGGCCUGGCGAAUCGACGCAGCCGAAGCUGGUAAACGUGCUCGGAGGUGUCGGUCUCAGAGUUUCGGCGGCUUGGUUUUGAUGAUGAAGAUUGAUUUGAGAGAAAUUAUGGCUACCUAUUCUAGCUUCCUGGAAGAGAAAUUUUUCAUGCCGUCCUUGCUUUCAGGUUCCUGACAAUGCAGUUUGCCACUAGUUUUUGUUCAUCUAGUUUGAGGUGUGGUCUCA